rnacentral:ncRNA from 1 species
AAAUAAUUGUAAUAAUUUAAUUUUAAAAAAUUAAUAAAUUUAAUUAUAGUUUAGAAAUUAAUUUUAAGAUUUUUUUAUAUAUAAUUUUUAGAGAUGUGAUUUAAAGAUUUAAUAUUUAGUAUAUAAAAUUAAAAAUAUUAAUUAAUAUUAAUUUUAGAAAUUUUUUUUUAAUUUGGAUAAAUAAUUGUGCCAGCAAUCGUGGUUAGACAAUUUAAGUGAAUUAAUUAUAUUAAAUUAAAAUAAAAUGAGAUUUUAUAUUUAAUAUUGAAAUUAUUAGGUGAAAUUAGUAAUUUUAUAUAUAAUAUAGAAUAAAAAUUAAUUUGAUUUUUUGAAGAAUUUUUAAAAAACUAGGAUUAGAUACCCUAUUAUAUAAUUUUAAAAGUUAAGUUUUAUUAUUAAAUGAUAAAUCAUUAAAUUUAAAUAAUUUGGCGGUAUUUUAAUUUUAUUAGAGGAAUUUGUUAAUUAAUUGAUAAUACUCGAUAAGUUUAACUUUAAUUAAUUUUUAUAUUGUUGUUUAAAAAGUAUUUUUUAAGGGAGUAUUUUUAAUUUUUGUUAAAAAUAAAUUCAGAUCAAAAUGAAGUUUAUAUUAAAGGAUAAAUGAAUUACAAUAAAUUUAAUUUAAAUGGAUUAAUAUUUUAAAAAUUAUUAUGAAGGUGGAUUUAAAAGUAAAAUAAAAUAAUUAUUUUAUUUGAUUUAAAUUUUAAGAUAUGUACAAAUUGCCCGUCGUUCUCUUUGAAAAAGGAGGUAAGUCGUAACAAAGUAAAAGUACUGGAAAGUGUUUUUAGAU